UACGUAGGUCCCGAGCGUUGUCCGGAUUUAUUGGGCGUAAAGCGAGCGCAGGCGGUUAGAUAAGUCUGAAGUUAAAGGCUGUGGCUUAACCAUAGUACGCUUUGGAAACUGUUUAACUUGAGUGCAAGAGGGGAGAGUGGAAUUCCAUGUGUAGCGGUGAAAUGCGUAGAUAUAUGGAGGAACACCGGUGGCGAAAGCGGCUCUCUGGCUUGUAACUGACGCUGAGGCUCGAAAGCGUGGGGAGCAAACAGGAUUAGAUACC
rnacentral:rRNA from 1 species